rnacentral:ncRNA from 1 species
AAUGAUUUUUGCCAGAGAUCUGGUUUGCUAUCUUACUGUUGUAAAUUUAUACAAAUGAAAUUAAUGUAAUAUUUACAAUUUUAAAACUUUUAUAGGUUUUGUAAAACAGGAUAGAAAAUAGAAAUAAAGUGCCAGCACUAGCGGUCAUACUUUAGUUUUCAAGAUAGCAUUGUGCGGGACUGUUUAAAAGAUUUUAGUUCUAGGGGUAAAAUCUAGAAUUUAAAAAUUUUAACAAAUUUUACUAAACUACGGUAAUCAAACUAGGAUUAGAUACCCUAUUAUGCGUAGCGAAUUUACAAUGUCCUAGCGUGUAAAUGUAUAAAUUCAGGAAAGCCAUCUACCAUGGCGGCUCCUUAUACAAUCAGAGGCAGAUGUGCUUAAACGAAGUUGCACGAACAUCUUACUUUUUUUAUCUUUGUACACCGCUGCUGGAAAGUUUAGUCGUGAGACUGGGCUGUUUUUAAUUUUUAAGUUAAAGCAAGUCAAGGUGCAGGUUAUGGAAAAGUUGACAUGUUUGCCAAUACUUUUUAAAAUGGUAUUAUUUACUGAAAUGUAAAUUUAUAAGAAUCUGAAAGUAAAGAUCGUUCAUUAAACCGUCUUGAAUUGGCUAUUUGGAGCGCACAAAUUGUCCGUCAACCCUAUAAAUGGGUAAGUCGUAACAAAGUUGUGCUACCGGAAGGUGGCU